GAGGAUGGAGUAGUGGUCUGAGUGUUGGACUAGGACUUUGAAGACCAGGGUUCAAAUCCCUGUUCAGCCA